rnacentral:RNase_P_RNA from 1 species
GAAGCAAGCCAGACAGCCGCUGGCCGUCGCAAGACGGCGGGAGGAAGGUCCGGACUCCAUAGAGCAGGGUGACGGUUAACGGCCGUCCGCCGAAAGCCUGGUGCAAGCCAGGUAUAAGGCGAGGAACAGGGCCACAGAGACGAGCGUAUUCAGUUACGGUGAAACGCGGUAACCUCCACUCGGAGCAAUUCCAAAUAGGCACGCAUUGAUGUUGCUCGCGGAGCGUGCGGGUAGGAAGCUUGAGCCGUGGAGUAAUUCACGGCCUAGAGGAAUGGCUGUCAUAGCAGGGCAACCUGCCGUAACAGAAUCCGGCCUAUCGGCUUGCUUCACUU